AGAAGAAAUGAGAUUCCCAUCCCAAGAGAUAGAAAUGGAAUUGUUCAUACAGCUCGAGCGGCUAAUCCGAUAACCUCCGAAGGCAAACAGGUACCUUCAAUGGCAAAUCAAACUCCUGUGAUCUCAAGAGGCAAUGUGGUGCCUGUUUUACUCCAACCUGUUGAUUUAUCAAAUGGGAAUGCCAGUGGACCAUCUUCAGCCGCAACCCAACCUACUGAUGCAGUGGCCUUCAAGGGAAAACGGGUGCUAGAUGCUGCUCAUCCAUCAAAUGGAUCAACAUCCACACCCACAAACCAAGUGCUGGCAGUUGAAACCCAGUUGCUUCACUUUCAAUCUCAAAAUGACCACCAGUUAAUGUCUUCAAGCAUACAAAAGGAAGCCAGUGUUAAUCAAAAUUUAGCAGCAGCACAGCAAGAUGCUGAAGCCAAAUCAAUGAAAUUGCCUGGUAUGCCCUUUGAGAAACUGUUAACAGAAGUCAUUAAAAGAACUCAAGUCCCUUCACAGUCAACAAAGACUGAUAAUGGUUCAGCUGUUAAUUUGCCUGCUAAAGAUUCUGGCCUUGCUGCAGAGGAUGAUAUCAAUGACACAGAUCAGCC
rnacentral:misc_RNA from 1 species